AUCCAGUACUGCAGCAGGAGAGCAAGGGAUGCAUUCUGAUAAGGAGAUGGGACCUUUCAACAGGUUUCUCAAAUCACUACAUUGUUGGGACAGCUUGUUUCAUUCUACACAAGACCAGGUUUCAUAGAGCCAAAGGGCUUCUCUGCUUCACGUGGCAGAACACAGGCGCUGGGAAGAAAGACCCAACUCCACACGCUUCAGACAGGAUAACUUUAAGGUUUGCCAAACUGCCAAAAGAUGUCUGUCAAGGACUAAGAACAGAGAAGGCUCCUCAGUGGGUCUGUGAGGAAAACCACCACUGCACCUCUGCAGACAGGCAGGCUCGCUUGGUCAUGGAAACCAUCCCAGGAGACAGAGACAGCGCUCAGUGGCGACCCUUCAUCUUCACCCUCCAGGACGAAAGUGGCUGGCUUGCCUUUGCCGAGGUA
rnacentral:lncRNA from 1 species